rnacentral:rRNA from 1 species
GACAGAGGGUGCAAACGUUGUUCGGAAUUACUGGGCGUAAAGCGCGUGUAGGCGGCAGGGCAUGUCGGAUGUGAAAUCCCGUGGCUCAACCACGGAAGUGCACCCGAAACUGCCCAGCUUGAGUCUCGGAGAGGAAGGCGGAAUGCUUGGUGUAGAGGUGAAAUUCGUAGAUAUCAAGCGGAACACCGGUGGCGAAGGCGGCCUUCUGGACGAUGACUGACGCUGAGACGCGAAAGCGUGGGGAGCAAACAG